rnacentral:lncRNA from 1 species
UCGGUGGUAGAGGGCUUAAAGUGUGAGUGGAGAUGCCUUUAGGACACUUCCAAUUCCUUGGUAUAUGAAUGGAAUUCAAAUGAAAUAGCCAAAUCCUGACAAGCUUCUAUGAGCUCCAAAGCCUCUGCAGGUGUUUUACAGCCAGAGACAAGAGCCUGGAGUCUCUCCCCAAAAGCUGCCUGCUGGUUUGUUUGGCCAGGCAUAGGAAAAAUUGUGUAUUCCCUGGGGCUGUCCUCAUGGAGAAAGGUUUAUUUACAUGCCCUGGGUUUAUUCUCUUCAAAAUGAUGGAAACCGAUUUCACUGAAAGGCCAGAGGUGCCAAAUGCUUUCCCCAGCCAGAGCUCGGAGCCAGCCCUGUGGGAAGGGGUUUAAUGCCCCCUUUCCCAGUCCCUCGAGGCAGCAGCACUGGAGCACUUGAGCCAAACGUGCCCGAGGUGCCGAGUGCUGGCAGGAGGCAAAUCCAGGGAUUGGGCAGUGGGAGUUUGCACUGCUCCUGUAACCCCAGACCUGGAGCUGUGCUUCAGAAAGCCCAGGAGAUGCUGCCUCACUCAAACCUUGCUUAAAGCUCAGCAUCCCUCCUGCACCCUUGGAGUUAAUGUUGCUUCCAUUGUUGCUAUUUCUUUUUUUGUUUAUAAUAAUUAUUAUUAUUACUGUAAAUUCCCACUCCAUGUCUUCCACAGGCCUUGGCUUCCCAGAGGUGGUGCUUGAGGAAAGCUCUUCCAGCCUGGGAAGUGCUUUUGGCGCCGGACACAUUCCCAGUGCCCAGGAGCAGCAGGCCCUGUGCUGUUCCCAGCAGGCAUGGAAAAUGGGGGAAAUCUCAGACUGGACUGGAGCCAGAAUCCAGAAUGGGGGAGUGAGGCAGCUCAGCCCAGGCUGGGGUUGGCACAGGGGGUGUUCCCUGUUGGAUGGAACCCGUGUGGAACAGAUCCUUCUCUUCCUUUGUCCAAGGUCCCAUGGCAAAGGAUUGAAUUCACGCCCUACUCACAAGUGGGGCCUGGAGUGAAAAUUAUUAUUCUGUUAAAUAAAUUAAAUAUUAAUAAAUAAAUUAAAAUUCUG